GGUGAACUUAUCACAGUCCGUAAAGGUAGGUCCCACGUGUAGAGAGAUAUUCUUAGGGUGUAGAUAGGAUCAUGUCUUUACAAUCAAAGGUUGGGAGUUCAGCAUAUGUGGGAAAAAGAAUAAAACAAAACUCCAAUGGCACAGUAAAUCGAUGAAUAAAAUAAAUAUAAAUAAAAUCAGUCUUACUCACACUUUUCAGAGCU